rnacentral:snRNA from 1 species
AUGCUCACUUUGGCAGCACAUACACUAAAAUUGGAAUGAUACAGGGAAGACUAGUAUGACUAGUAUGGCCCUACACAUUCGUGAAGCACUAUAUAUAUAU